rnacentral:piRNA from 1 species
UCCCUGGAAACUAAGGUGGACACACACUGC